rnacentral:ncRNA from 1 species
CCAAGGGGUGCCUGAUAAAUUUAACGAUUUUAAUGGCUGAGAUGCGAAGCGAACCCUUAGAACCUGAACCGGAUAGUACCGGCGUAGGAAUGGUUA